GGGAAUAUUGCGCAAUGGGGGAAACCCUGACGCAGCAACGCCGCGUGCGGGAUGAAGGCCUUCGGGUUGUAAACCGCUUUCAGCAGGGAAGACGCAGACGGUACCUGCAGAAGAAGCCCCGGCUAACUACGUGCCAGCAGCCGCGGUAAUACGUAGGGGGCGAGCGUUAUCCGGAUUCAUUGGGCGUAAAGCGCGCGCAGGCGGACCGUUAAGCGGGACCUCUAAUCCUGGGGCUCAACCUCAGGCCGGGUCCCGAACUGGCGGUCUCGAGUGCGGUAGGGGAGGUCGGAAUUCCCGGUGUAGCGGUGGAAUGCGCAGAUAUCGGGAAGAACACCGAUGGCGAAGGCAGACCUCUGGGCCGACACUGACGCUGAGGCGCGAAAGCUAGGGGAGCGAACAG
rnacentral:rRNA from 1 species